rnacentral:tRNA from 1 species
GGACGGUUAGCUCAGUGGCAGAGCGCUUCGUUUACACCGAAGAAGCCGCAAGUUCGAGUCUUGCACCGUCCACCA